rnacentral:rRNA from 1 species
GAUGAACGCUGGCGGCGUGCCUAAUACAUGCAAGUCGAGCGAACAGACGAGGAGCUUGCUCCUCUGACGUUAGCGGCGGACGGGUGAGUAACACGUGGAUAACCUACCUAUAAGACUGGGAUAACUUCGGGAAACCGGAGCUACUACCGGAUAAUAUAUUGAACCGCAUGGUUCAAUAGUGAAAGACGGUUUUGCUGUCACUUAUAGAUGGAUCCGCGCCGCAUUAGCUAGUUGGUAAGGUAACGGCUUACCAAGGCGACGGUGCGUAGCCGACCUGAGAGGGUGAUCGGCCACACUGGAACUGAGACACGGUCCAGACUCCUACGGGAGGCAGCAGUAGGGAAUCUUCCGCAAUGGGCGAAAGCCUGACGGAGCAACGCCGCGUGAGUGAUGAAGGUCUUCGGAUCGUAAAACUCUGUUAUUAGGGAAGAACAAAUGUGUAAGUAACUAUGCACGUCUUGACGGUACCUAAACAGAAAGCCACGGCUAACUACGUG